UACGUAGGUGGCAAGCGUUAUCCGAAUUUAUUGGGUUUAAAGGGUGCGUAGGCGGACGCUUAAGUCAGCGGUAAAAUUGCGGGGCUCAACCUCGUCGAGCCGUUGAAACUGGGUGCCUUGAGUGGGCGAGAAGUACGCGGAAUGCGUGGUGUAGCGGUGAAAUGCAUAGAUAUCACGCAGAACUCCGAUUGCGAAGGCAGCGUACCGGCGCCCAACUGACGCUGAAGCACGAAGGCGUGGGUAUCGAACAGG
rnacentral:rRNA from 1 species